UUGCUGCCAAUUAAGCCAAUGAGAUAUCUUUCACCAUGGGGACCUGGUGUGCAACGGCUGCAGACAGCAUCCUCCUUGGGAGUGUAUGCAGUCUGAUUUGUUGGAUUGUUCUAAGAGAAAUAGAAUUAUCU